rnacentral:rRNA from 1 species
CCUACGGGAGGCUGCAGUGAGGAAUAUUGGUCAAUGGCCGGAAGGCUGAACCAGCCAAGUCGCGUGAGGGACGACUGCCCUAUGGGUUGUAAACCUCUUUUAUAAGGGAAGAAUAAAUGCUACGUGUAGCAUGCUGCCUGUACCUUAUGAAUAAGCAUCGGCUAACUCCGUGCCAGCAGCCGCGGUAAUACGGAGGAUGCGAGCGUUAUCCGGAUUUAUUGGGUUUAAAGGGUGCGUAGGCGGGCUUUUACGUCAGCGGUAAAAAUUCGGGGCUCAACCCCGUCCGGCCGUUGAAACUGGGGGCCUGGAGUGGGCGAGAAGAAGGCGGAAUGCGUGGUGUAGCGGUGAAAUGCAUAGAUAUCACGCAGAACCCCGAUUGCGAAGGCAGCCUUCCGGCGCCCGACUGACGCUGAGGCACGAAAGUGCGGGGAUCGAACAGGAUUAGAUACCCUAGUAGUC